rnacentral:rRNA from 1 species
GAUGAACGCUGGCGGCGUGCCUAAUACAUGCAAGUCGAGUGAAUGGAUUAAGAGCUUGCUCUUAUGAAGUUAGCGGCGGACGGGUGAGUAACACGUGGGUAACCUGCCCAUAAGACUGGGAUAACUCCGGGAAACCGGGGCUAAUACCGGAUAAUAUUUUGAACUGCAUGGUUCAAAAUUGAAAGGCGGCUUCGGCUGUCACUUAUGGAUGGACCCGCGUCGCAUUAGCUAGUUGGUGAGGUAACGGCGCACCAAGGCCACGAUGCGUAGCCGAGCUGAGGGGGGGUGCCGCCACACUGGGACUGAGACCCAGCCCAGACGCCUACGGGAGGUAGCAGUAGGGAUUCUUCCGCAAUGGACGAAAGUCUGACGGAGCAACGCCGCGUGAGUGAUGAAGGCUUUCGGGUCGUAAAACUCUGUUGUUAGGGAAGAACAAGUGCUAGUUGAAUAAGCUGGCACCUUGACGGUACCUAACCAGAAAGCCACGGCUAACUACGUGCCAGCCGCCGCGGUAA